rnacentral:rRNA from 1 species
UGGGGAAUAUUGCACAAUGGGGGAAACCCUGAUGCAGCGACGCCGCGUGAGCGAAGAAGGUCUUCGAAUCGUAAAGCUCUGUCCUAUGAGAAGAUAAUGACGGUAUCAUAGGAGGAAGCCCCGGCUAAAUACGUGCCAGCAGCCGCGGUAAUACGUAUGGGGCGAGCGUUGUCCGGAAUUAUUGGGCGUAAAGGGUACGUAGGCGGUCUAUUAAGUCAGGUGUGAAAGCGUGAGGCUUAACCUCAUUAAGCACUUGAAACUGAUAGACUUGAGUGAAGGAGAGGAAAGUGGAAUUCCUAGUGUAGCGGUGAAAUGCGUAGAUAUUAGGAGGAAUACCGGUGGCGAAGGCGACUUACUGGACUUUUACUGACGCUCAGGUACGAAAGCGUGGGGAGCAAACAGG